ACCAUAGUUGGCUUAAAAGCAGC
rnacentral:piRNA from 1 species